GUCUAGAUCAUUAUUAUCCUUGGCCUGUUCAGACCCAUCGUCGGCCCAAGUUGCCAAUAUUUGAUCCACACAAAAAAGUAAAGAAUCUCCAUUUAGCAAAGAAAAACAAUUAUAUAGUGCACAAAUACGGAUUUACAACUACAAAAUUCAUAUCACCAUAACAGAUUACAAUUACAUAUCACAAUCACACUGGAGGUCUAGAUACUUCAUACAUAUAAUCUGUGUUGUUCCUUGCCUGUAGUAUCAUUUGUUCCAUCCCAAGUGGAGUUACCCUUCUAAACUAAACUCGAGUGUAAUAUCUUCUGUUCUACCUCAAUUACCUACAAAAGAAUAGCAGAAAACAAAUUGUGAGAACUAUUAGCGUGAGGAAUAAUUUAUGUGAAACAUUCACCCAAACAUUUAUUUAAAAUGAUAGUGAUUAGCUCGCCCACAAUAAAAUGACAGGAACAAGGAACAAUAUACAGCAACAUCAAAUUCUUCAGUCAACAUGCCCAUUUUUAGCAGCAAGCAAACAAGAAUUUUGGCAUGCAAAAAGAACACAUAUGCUUGUCUUAGUAUCACAGAAAGAAAUCAAAUUUGAAUAUUAGUAGUGAGAUGGUUGGUGGAAUAUCUAUCCUAGCAAAUUAGAGCACAAGUCAGUUGAUAUGUGGCUAGUACAAAUCUUUCCUGGGACAUUUGAAAGAAAUGUCCUAUUGAAACAAAGAACAUGAAAUGAUUAAACAUGUACAUUUCAGUCAAUAUGUCUAUUGAGAUAUCUAUCUAUACUACUAUAUAGUGUACAAGUUUUAAACUUGCGAAUUUCAAGGCCAAAAAGAAAAGUGAGUCAUUGAUAGUAUCCAUCGAACAGCUCAAAAUGGUGGGAUUCACAGCUACAUUAGUGGCUAUAGUACAAACGAAGGCACUACUAAUUUCUAGAACCAUCGUAUCAGCCAACAUAGGAAAAGUUCACUUAUGUAUGAGAUUAUCCGUUCAUGCAUAGCUGGUCACGGCACACGCACUGACAGCCAGACCGCGACUGUCCGCGGCAUUGCACACUAAUGUAUCUCAUCAAUGAGAUUUGGAAGCUCUCAGUGAAGCUUUUUUAAGAUGGCUACAGUGCAAGAUACUAAUUCUAAAUAUGUGAAACUUUACAUACAAAUCAGAAUGGCUUCAACAAUGGACUCAAUGAAGCCAUACAUGCAAGAAGGUGUUGUAUUUGAAGGGUAAGAUUUGAAUCCAUCAAUUGAACCCUGCACGUGUUGUGCAUGUACCCGCCUACUAGUAUAUAUAAUAUUUCACUUAACCACUACAUAAAAUGAAAGAUAUAGAUUGAACCAUAAUCCAGAGCAAUAGUAUUUGGUACAAAAUGUUUUCCUUAAAAGGCCAACAACUCAAUGAACACACAGGUAAAAAGUAGGACCAGGAACAACUCUACUGACGAUGUAGUGAAAGCAAAAGACUCGGUUCAAAUAAACACAAAUAAUGGUUUAAAUGAUUUUGGUUCCCAGGUUAGUUAAUUAACUCAGGGGCAGAGCCAAUUUACUUUUGGCUAAAAGUUGUUGAUUGGUUGCUUGAAUGAAUGUAACUCUAUCAUGUGCAUGGGAAAUACUCUGAUGUACAUUGCCCUUCGUGGUGUCAGUACAUCUGCUAUAAAUUAAACUUCACCUCUAAGACUAAGAGGCCCCGUGCACAUUCAGAAUCUCAAACUGAAUUCUGCACUAUGAGGUUGAUACUUUUUUGAGUUGCUUGGCUCAACUUUUAUGAUCUCUAUCAUUGUUUGUAGCUCUGUUAGAGUUAUGUUGCCAGUUGUGUCUAGAGUCGCUGUAUAAAUAACACUAAUUACUUUUUAAACAAAUAAUUUGGUAUGUUCAUAGUUUAGAAUGACUAAGCACUGUUAGAUACGGUGCUUGCACACUGUUGCCUUUUACGUACGAGAUUAAGAAGUGCACUUUUCACUUGUCCCAAAAUGUGCUGUAACUAACUGCUAGAAGGUUAAUUUUACAUAAAAAAAGUAUCAUUUGGUUGCUAUCUACAUACACUUCCAGCUAGAUAAUUUUAGCAGAGGCUCUUGGGAGCUACAUAUUGUUAUUAUCUAUUAUUUGUCUAAAAGUAUUUUUUAUCUAUAGAUACAAUCUGCAGAGACAGUCUGUUUAUGAGUGCUACCUGUUCGAGCCACUACUUUUUUUGAUCAUUGGCUAAGAUAUCAAUAGUGAUACACUGAAAUAACUCCUCCAGAUUCUACUAUUUCUCUGAUAGUCUAAUUGAGGAUUAGUUUCAGUCUGUCUGCUUAGAUUACUCAAUAGUUGUACUUUCAGCAUACCAUUUUUUCAGUUUCAUAUAUACUCUACAUCAUAUUUUGAUACAUAUCGUUGACGUAUAUCUGUAAAGUAAAUUGACACAUAGAAACAAAACCCGACCUUGGAAACUAUGUAAGCACCCCACAUAUAUUCGUUACUAAUACAUGUUCAUGAAGAAAAGAUGUAAAUAUAUACAUUGAAAAAAGAUCAGUCACAUCAACAUUUAUGCAAAAUGCAAAACGUAAUACAUCAUCUUGCUAUCUUUCCAAAACAAUUAUUCCCUGCCACAAAAGUUACUUCACUGCAAAGCACUAUCCUGGCAUCCUAUAUGGAUAAUUAUUCAACUAAUUUGGAGCGAAAAGAGUUCUCACCUUCACAACAAGUGGUCCGGCGAGGUCACCUGUGGCGAUGCAAACAAGGCCAAGGAGAGUGCUGAAUAAAACAGUGGCCAACCCCUUCUCUCCUAGUGCGGAUUGUGAAGAAGACCGGAGCAUCGGGGCAGCCGUCCUUGGUCCUGGACAACGAGUAGGCGACAACGUCCAUCUCACCGACCUCAACAACCUUCCUCAUGACCACCGCCUCCAUGACGACGAGCCGGGGGCUGACCUUGACGCGGAUGCGGGAGCACCGCUACGGGCCUGUGUGCCCCCAUCGCGGAUCUGAGAGGCUUCAGAGGGGGAGAGUGUGGGGGCGGUGGAGGAGCGACAGAGGGUGGGAGACGGAGGUGGAGCGGGGUAUGGUUGGGGCGGCGGCGCGGGAGAUCGAGGGGGCGGCAGCUGCGCAUGGAGGGAGGCUUGGCAUGGAUCUGAAUCGGGAGCACAGAUGGAGAGGAGGCGGCGGCUGUGGGUGGAGGUGGAGGUGGAUUAGGGUUUCCGCGGUCUGGGGGAGAGGCGCGAGGCCGUGGCCUCUCGGGCUGGUGGGCUAUGGAGAUAAAUGGGUUGGCUCCCAAUAAUUUUAAAUCCCCGUGUCGACGACUUGAAUGUUUUC
rnacentral:lncRNA from 1 species